AUGGCUGGAAUAAUGGUGAGCGCUUCUACCGGGGUGAUGAACUCUCUCCUGGGUAAGCUGGCCACCCUGAUGGGGGACGAGUUUGCCAAGCUAAAGAACCUGAGAAACGAGGUGAAGGACAUCAGCAAUGAGCUGAGCAGCAUGAAGGAUGCUCUAGAGUGCCUUGCUGAUGUGGAUGAGCUCGAUAUACAGACCGCAAGGUGGAGGGACGCGGUCAGGGAGAUGUCUUACGACAUUGAGGAUAUCGUCAAUGACUUCAUGUGCAAAAUUGGGGAGAAACACAAAAAAUCUGGGUUUGUCCAUGAGAUUAUUCAACGCCUCAAAACAUCAAAGGACCGCCAUCAGAUUGCUGGGCAGAUCGAGGAGAUCAAGAAACUUGUGCAUGAAACAAGUGAACGGCGUGAAAGAUAUAGGCUCAAUGUCCUCACAUCAGGCAAUUUGGCAGUUGAUCAACGAGUUGUCGCACUCUAUGAGAAUGCAUCUAAACGUGUUGGUAUGGAGGGCCCAACCAAUGAACUUGUCAUUUGGCUAGAAGACGAGGAGAAGAAGUUGAAGAUUGUAUCAAUUGUUGGUUUUGGAGGUUUAGGUAAAACAACACUCGCCAAUGAGGUAUACCGUAAGCUGAAGGGAGAAUUUCAUUGUGGUGGAUUUGUGCCAGUGUCUCAAAAGCCAAAUAUUUCAAAACUUCUGCAUAGUUUACUAAUCCAACUCGGGUGUGGACAAUCUUUUAAAGAUUGUGAGUUAAAUGUACUUCUCGACCAGCUCAGAGAAAAUCUAGAAAAUAAGAGGUACAUCAUUAUCAUCGAUGAUCUAUGGGAUGUAUCAGCAUGGGGUAUUAUUAAAUGUGCUUUCCCUGAAAAUGAUCUUGGUAGCAGAUUAAUAGUAACUACAAGAAUCAAGAAUGUGGGUGAGGCAUGUUGUUUGGGUCACCACAAGCGCAUUCUGGAAAUGAAACCUCUUAGUGAAGAAGACUCAAGAAAAUUGUUUUUCGAUAGGAUAUUUUGUUCUGAAGAAGCUUGUCCAGGUCAACUCCGAGAUGUUUCAGUUGAGAUUCUCAAGAAAUGUGGUGGCUUGCCACUUGCAAUCAUUAGCAUAUCCAGCCUAUUAGCAAGCGGAAGUUCCCACCAAUAUGAGAGGUGGAAACUUGUAUGGAAUUCUUUGAGGUCAGUAUCGGACACAAAUCUCACCUUGGAAGCAAUGAGACAGAUCUUGAACCUUAGCUACAAAAAUCUUCCUCACCACCUCAAGACAUGCUUCUUGUAUCUUGGCAUGUUUCCAGAGGACUAUAUAAUAGAGACGACUGUUUUGAUGGGUCAGUGA
rnacentral:rRNA from 1 species